GAUGAACGCUGGCGGCGUGCCUAAUACAUGCAAGUCGAGCGAACAGACGAGGAUCUUGCUCCUCUGACGUUAGCGGCCGACGGGUGAGUAACACGUGCAUAACCUACCUAUCUGUCUGGGAUACAUUCGGGAAACCGGAGCUAAUACCUGAUAAUAUCUUGAACCGCAUGGUUCAAUGAUUAAAGACAGUUUUUCUUUCACUUAUAGAUGCAUCCGCUCCGCAUUAGCUAUUUGGUAAGGUAACGGCUUACCAAGGCAACGAUGCGUAGCCGACCUGAGAGGGGGAUCGGCCACACUGGAACGGAGACACGGUCCAGACCACUAUGGGAGGCAGCAGUAGGGAAUCUUCCGCAAUGGGAGAAAGCCUGACGGAGCAACGCCGCGUGAGUGAUGAAGGUCUUCGGAUCGUAAAACUCUGUUAUUAGGGAAGAACAAAUGUGUAAGUAACUAUGCACGUCUUGACGGUACCUAAUCAGAAAGCCACGGCUAACUACGUG
rnacentral:rRNA from 1 species